GAAAAAACGUUGAUAGGAAUUAGUACAAAGAUUGUUUUGCUCAGAGAGUCGGUGGUUGCUGUGAACCGAUCAAAAAAUCUUUGGAAUCCAUCCUGGAGUAAGCUGGUGGAAGGUUGAAUGUAACUAAAACCAGUUCGGUUUAUCCGUUAUCAAGACUUAAGCUGGCAUUUUAAUUUAUUUGGAAUGCAAUUUGGGUGGCAACGCGGGUGUAAGCUCGUCCCUUCU
rnacentral:ncRNA from 1 species